UGAUCCUGGCUCAAAACGAACGCUGGCGGCGUGGAUAAUACAUGCAAGUCAAACGAAAGAAUUGCUAGCUUGCUAAUAAUUCUCGAGUGGCGCACGGGUGAGUAACACGUGAUUAACCUGCCCCCGAGAGCGGGAUAGCCCUGGGAAACUGGGAUUAAUACCGCAUAGUAUCGAAAGAUUAAAGCAGCAAUGCGCUUGGGGAUGGGCUCGCGGCCUAUUAGUUAGUUGGUGAGGUAACGGCUCACCAAGGCGAUGACGGGUAGCCGGUCUGAGAGGAUGUCCAGCCACGCUGGAACUGAGACCCGGUCCAGACACCUACGGGUGGCAGCAGUCGAGAAUCAUUCACAAUUGGGGGAAACCCAGAUGGUGCGACGCCGCGUGGGGGAAUGAAGGUCUUCGGAUUGUAAACCCCUGUCAUGUGGGAGCAAAUUAAAAAAAAAAAAAAAACAAGAGGAAGAGACGGCUAACUCUGUGCCAGCAGCCGCGGUAAUACAGAGGUCUCAAGCGUUGUUCGGAAUCACUGGGCGUAAAGCGUGCGUAGGCUGUUUCGUAAGUCGUGUGUGAAAGGCGCGGGCUCAACCCGCGGACGGCACAUGAUACUGCGAGACUAGAGUAAUGGAGGGGGAACCGGAAUUCUCGGUGUAGCAGUGAAAUGCGUAGAUAUCGAGAGGAACACUCGUGGCGAAGGCGGGUUCCUGGACAUUAACUGACGCUGAGGCACGAAGGCCAGGGGAGCGAAAG
rnacentral:rRNA from 1 species